GAGACGACCUCCAGAUGUGGGCUCCCCGGGUGCGGAGGAGGGCAGGCGUGCCGUGCCAGACCAGACCAGACCAGGGAUUGGGGGACGGUCUGCAUCUGCAUCAGGAGCGCCUCCAGCCCUUUGGCCAGAAGAUCAGGUUCCAGUUCAGUUUCUGGAGCAGAUAAGAUUCCAUGAGCUGCAUGAAUCUUGGAGAUUCAGAAGAUGGUCUCAGCCGGCAAGAUUGGUCAUGGCCAUUGGCUUUUUCUGAAGCAGCAGUCCAGCGUCAGUCAUCAGCAAAAUGGUGACAAGAGACAGCUUCACUGGCUUUGUGAUCCCUGGAUCUCAUCUAAAUUGACGUUCUUAAAGUCAGCAGUUUCAGUGAUGGCUCCCUGAUUCUCCACCUUCCUGACUGUGGUAGGAGAGCAGUUCCCCUGCUGGGCUCAUUCUGUCGUGUUGUUCUCGAUGCUAUUUCUGGAAGCCUAACUCAGAGCUUUCCAGUCCUUCCAGGAUUGUGCGAACUCCUUGUUUCCU
rnacentral:lncRNA from 1 species